rnacentral:rRNA from 1 species
GACGAACGCUGGCGGCGCGCUUAACACAUGCAAGUCGAACGGUGAAGCGCCUUCCUUUUUGGUGGGUGUGGAUGAGUGGCGAACGGGUGAGUAACACGUGAGUAACCUGCCCCCUUCUUCUGGAUAACCGCAUGAAAGUGUGGCUAAUACGGGAUAUUCUGGGUCUGUCGCAUGAUGGGUCUGGGAAAGAUAUUGUUUCGGUGGGGGAUGGGCUCGCGGCCUAUCAGCUUGUUGGUGGGGUGAUGGCCUACCAAGGCGGUGACGGGUAGCCGGCCUGAGAGGGUGGCCGGUCACACUGGGACUGAGACACGGCCCAGACUCCUACGGGGGGCAGCAGUGGGGAAUAUUGCACAAUGGGCGCAAGCCUGAUGCAGCGCCGCCGCGUGAGGGAUGGAGGCCUUCGGGUUGUGAACCUCUUUCGCCAGUGAAGCAGGCCUGCCUCGUUUGUGGGUGGGUUGACGGUAGCUGGAUAAGAAGCGCCGGCUAACUACGUG